rnacentral:rRNA from 1 species
UAGUGAGUUUGAUCCUGGCUCAGGGUGAACGCUGGCGCGUGCCUAAGGACGAUGCAAGUCGAACGCAGUAGCUUGCUACUGAGUGGCGCACGGGUGAGUAACACGUAGGCAAUCUGCCUAUCUCUGGGGGAUAGCCCGCCGAAAGGGGGGAUUAAUACCGCAUAACACCACAACACGGCAUCGUGUCAUGGUUAAAGAAUUUCGGAGAUAGAUGAGCCUGCGUGCCAUUAGCUAGUUGGUAAGGUAACGGCUUACCAAGGCGACGAUGGCUAGGGGGAGCUGAGAGGCCGACUCCCCCGACACUGGCACUGAGAUACGGG